GACAAUUAUUAUGUUCAUUCUUCUUUUCAAAUAGGAAAGGAAAUCAUACAACCCCAGAAACCAUCACAAACACUAGAGUAUUGUUACAUAUAGUGUAACGUUAAUUCUCUUAGUUAUUCCCGUAACGAUUGUCAAAUUUAGAAUGCUUAUCGUCAAAAAUCAGCAAAUCAUAACGAACUAAAAGUACUCUAAAUAGUUAUUUUUU
rnacentral:misc_RNA from 1 species